UGCACUGCAUGGUAUCUGCAUUCAGUAGUUUAUUCCUGCUGGGUGUUCAAAGGACAGCAAUAUAAAUUCAGUAUCUGGCAUCAUUGGUUUUCUUGGCUUUGUGCAUGUUAAACCUGGCAUUUUUAUUGAAACAUUA
ensembl:snoRNA small nucleolar RNA SNORA8